rnacentral:rRNA from 1 species
AUUGAACUCUGGCGGCAGGCCUAACACAUGCAAGUCGAACGAGUGGCGGACGGGUGAGUAAUGUCUGGGAAACUGCCCGAUGGAGGGGGAUAACUACUGGAAACGGUAGCUAAUACCGCAUACCAUCGGAUGUGCCCCGAUGGGAUUAGCUAGGCGGGGGGGUAAUGGCUCACCUAGGCGACCAUCCCGAGCUGGUCUGAGAGGAUGACCAGCCAAACGGGAACUGAGACACGGUCCAGACACCUACGUGAGGCAGCAGUGGGGAAUAUUGCACAAUGGGCGAAAGCCUGAUGAAGCCAUGCCGCGUGUAUGAAGAAGGCCUGCGGGUUGUAAAGUACUGUCAGCGGGGAGGCGUUACCAGCAGAAGAAGCACCGGCUAACGCCGUGCCAGCAGCCGCGGUAAUUC